GGAUAACAUCACGAUGGAGAAAUUAAUACUUCUAGUUGUGAUAUAACAACAACCCAAUUGUGGGAUGCCUGCCUCAUACGUACCUAACAUCAGUUUCUUCACUACAGAACCAACUUACAGGUGUUCAUCCUGAUCACAAGCCACUGCCAAACACAAAAGGCAGAGGAGCUCACAGAACCAACACGAGUAAGCUCAUAUUACAGUCACAGUAUCCUCCUACCGUUGAUUGAUCUCAGUAUAUCCAUAACCUCACACGUACCUUUGCCUUGCUUUUAACUAGUUCAUAUUACAGCAAAUAAUGUACGCAAAACUGUACCUCUGCCUUGCUUGUAACUAGUGUAAAACCAUUUAGUUUCGG
rnacentral:lncRNA from 1 species